GGAAUUGAAAUCUGAAGACAUGGUGAUUUUUACCCAAUGGGUUAUGCCCUUGAGCACGAAGAUCUUUUGAACUCUGAGGUUCAGGACCACGCGUGCUUCUCACAUUUAUUGAGACAGAGAGUAUUAAUCAACAGCGGUUCAAGUUUCCACAAUGAGCUAUACAUCAUCUAAACUCACAUGGAUAUACCAGUGUUUUGUAGUGUGGGGAUAAUAAGGUGAAGUGAGGCUGCUGCUCACCGGUGGCUCGCCGGCCAUCCGAGAGCCGGAAUUGCGGCCCCACGCGAGGGAAAGAUCAGCGUUGCUGC